UGCCAACGCCCAGUUCUGCUACUUGAGCACUACUGGGAAAGCUGCUGUCAAGGGGACGGAGAGGACUGGCAGCACCGGGCGUCAGUGCCCCAAGUGGAAGGCGAAAGGCUGUCACAUGGCCAGCCUUUGGAGGAAUGUGGAGGAACCCCUACGUGCCAUCCCCCGCUGGCCAUCGAGUUUUGACUGUCUUGUCCGAUACUGGGUAUAAAACGACUCGGCAGCCCCCGAGGAAAGAAAUUCUGGGAGACUGAGAAUUUGCCAAGUUGCAAAAGCAGAACUUGGCAUUUGGAAGCCUUUGUCAAGGUUUGACUACGGUGCCGGACUGGGUUUUGCUAGAGGCUUUGAGCUUUCUUUGUAUAAAUAGCACUUGGAAGUGCUGCUCUAAUACCGUCAAUGAGUAUUUUCUCGUAUCAAAAAGUACAUGGCACUUACAAAAAGCAUGCUACCAUGUUCCUGCGGCUCUGAGCCUUCCACUUGUGAUGAAUUAGAAUUAGAAGAGAUCCAGAGGCCAUCUGAUCCAACCUGUGUAUAGACAGGAGUACCUUGUACAACCACCCCAGCAAGUAGUCAUUAUUCAACAUCACCUGAAGAUAUUUCCCCCCUCCCCUGCCAUGACGGAGAACCUAGCAAAUCAAUACAUUCUAUUAUUAGAAAGCUUUAAUUAUUAGGACAUCCUUAAGUCAAGUCUAAAUCUGUCUUUCCACAAUUUCUACUCAUUGGAAAGCCCUGAAGUUGGAAUUUUUUUCACUCUGCAAAUAUCUUCUACUCUGUACUUAAAUUUACUAUAGAAAUUUGUCCACAAGGUAUUUGAUAAAUGUGAUGUGAGAACAGUUAAGGUCCCCUCUUUUUAAGAAAGAAUAGAUCAUCAGACAUGAGGGUGUAAUUAUUAUGAAUAAUUCUUUCUUAGUUAUUUUAAGCAUAACGCUUAUCCACCAUACAUUAUUAUGUACUUCCUAAAGCUAAAACAUGUUUCAAAAUUCUUGUGUAUUCUUGUCAUAUUUUGCCACUCCUCCCCUACACACAUACACCCAUUUUCAGUUCAGUAAUAGAAAAACUUACUGAAAGUUCCUUGCAGUUAGUUUGUUUCUCCUCCAAAACAAAAAUAAACUCUUUGGAGUUUUUUGUUCACAUCAAUUAAGAGGUGGUAAUUAAGGUGUUCCCAUAUAAAGAAAAUUUA